UACGUAGGCAGCAAGCGUUGUUCGGAAUUACUGGGCGUAAAGAGUGUGUAGGCGGUGCUCUAAGUCUGUUGUGAAAUCUCCCGGCUUAACCGGGAGGGUGCGGCGGAAACUGGAGUGCUUGAGGGUGGGAGAGGUAAGCGGAAUUCCUGGUGUAGCGGUGAAAUGCGUAGAUAUCAGGAGGAACACCGGUGGCGAAGGCGGGUCUCUGGGCCGUAACUGACGCUGAGGAGCGAAAGCGUGGGGAGCGAACAGG
rnacentral:rRNA from 1 species